rnacentral:rRNA from 1 species
AUUGAACGCUGGCGGCAGGCCUAACACAUGCAAGUCGAGCGGAUGAAGGGAGCUUGCUCCUGGUUUCAGCGGCGGACGGGUGAGUAAUGCCUAGGAAUCUGCCUGGUAGUGGGGGAUAACGUCCGGAAACGGGCGCUAAUACCGCAUACGUCCUGAGGGAGAAAGUGGGGGAUCUUCGGACCUCACGCUAUCAGAUGAGCCUAGGUCAGAUUAGCUAGUUGGUGGGGUAAGGGCCUACCAAGGCGACGAUCCGUAACUGGUCUGAGAGGAUGAUCAGUCACAUUGGAACUGAGACACGGUCCAGACUACUACGGGAGGCAGCAGUGGGGAAUAUUGGACAAUGGGCGAAAGCCUGAUCCAGCCAUGCCGCGUGUGUGAAGAAGGUCUUCGGAUUGUAAAGCACGUUAAGUUGGGAGGAAGGGCAGUAAGUUAAUACCUUGCUGUUUUGACGUUACCAACAGAAUAAGCACCGGCUAACUUCGUG